GUGCUUGCUUUGGCAGCACAUAUACUAAAAUUGCAAUGAUACAGAGAAGAUUAGCAUGGCCCCUGCACAAGGAUGACACACAAAUUCAUGAAAUGUUCCAUAUUUUU
rnacentral:snRNA from 1 species